GUGCACGCUGGCGGUAGGCCUAACACAUGCAAGUCGAACGGCAGCACAGUAAGAGCUUGCUCUUACGGGUGGCGAGUGGCGGACGGGUGAGGAAUACAUCGGAAUCUACUUUUUCGUGGGGGAUAACGUAGGGAAACUUACGCUAAUACCGCAUACGACCUACGGGUGAAAGCAGGGGAUCUUCGGACCUUGCGCGAUUGAAUGAGCCGAUGUCGGAUUAGCUGGUUGGCGGGGUAAAGGCCCACCAAGGCGACGAUCCGUAGCUGGUCUGAGAGGAUGAUCAGCCACACUGGAAUUGAGACACGGUCCAGACUCCUACGGGAGGCAGCAGUGGGGAAUAUUGGACAAUGGGCGCAAGCCUGAUCCAGCCAUACCGCGUGGGUGAAGAAGGCCUUCGGGUUGUAAAGCCCUUUUGUUGGGAAAGAAAAGCAGCAGGUUAAUACCCCGCUGUUCUGACGGUACCCAAAGAAUAAGCACCGGCUAACUUCGUG
rnacentral:rRNA from 1 species